rnacentral:tRNA from 1 species
GCGGACGUGGCGAAAUUGGUAUACGCUAGGGACUUAAAAUCCCUCGAUCUUUAGAUCAUGCGGGUUCAAGUCCCGCCGUCCGCA